GAUGAACGCUAGCUACAGGCUUAACACAUGCAAGUCGCAGGACUGGCGCACGAGUGAGUAACGCGUAUCCAACCUUCCCAUAACUACGGGAUAACCCGUUGACAGACGGCCUAAUACCGUAUGGUUAUGGUUGGGGAUGCGUUUGAUUAGCUUGUUGGCGGGUUACCGGCCCACCAAGGCGACGAUCAGUAGGGGUUCUGAGAGGAAGGACACCCAGAUUGGAACUGAGACACGGUCCAAACGCAUAGGGGAGGGAGGAGUGAGGAGUCUUGGUGAAAGGGCGAGUGACGGAACAAGCCAAGUAGCGUGCAGGAUGACGGCAUAUUGGUUGUAAACUGCUUUUAUGUGGGGAUAGGUACCACAUGAAUAAGGGACGGCUAAUUCCGUGGCAGCCGCCGCGGUAAUUG
rnacentral:rRNA from 1 species